CUCCCACCCUAGGAGAGCUUGCAGGCCUGUGGUGAGGUCUGAUGACUAUAAACCAGGGCCAAAGCUGCUAAAGUAAUGACAGGAAGGCCACACAUUUCUCUGAACACUCACCAUGGGCCAGGGUCUAUGCUAAAAACCCAGUUAACAUGAACACAUUCAAACUCCAGAACAGCCCUACUUGGUAAGGGCAUGUUCCUGUCUGCCAAGUUCCCUGACUCCAAACAGCCCUAGGAGGGUCCUGGGGACACAGCAGGGUAGGAGCCUCUGGCCUGGGGUUAAAUGUCCUUCGGCAUCCCAGAAAGAAAACACAUGAGUGAGCCUUGCUUCCGUGAAGAGCCACUUGACAGGUGGAAAGUUAUUACAGGCAGUAGAAUCAGCGUGGCUGGAGAAAGACACAUGCGAUCCCACUGAACACUCUCAGCCACCCUAGAUCCUGUUACUGUGCCCAUUUCCAGAGAUCAGAGGGGUCAAGUGAGUUGCUCUAGGACACACAGGAGACAAUGUUACAGAUUCCUACAUCUGGUCACCAAACCACUAGAUCUUCUGUCUCCAGAUGAUUAAUAAUGUCAUAGCUACACUUCAGGAAGAGCCUCCUCAAGGGCUAGUUUGGUCUCAGAUGUCGGAAAGUCUGGGCCAGAAUGUGAGGACACCGAGGGCUCUGCUAUGUAGCUUGGACUUGAGAUUGAGUGAACACUUUGUAAGCCAGGCAUGCAGAGGCAGACUCUGGAAGGCUUGUUCUAGAAGGACACCCCCAAGAGCUCCCACCCCUUUUGCAGGAAGCCUGACUCUCCCAGACCACAGCCCGACGCCCAGCCAUGCUGACGCCCAGACUCUACACAAGGGCCUCAGAGAGGGGACAAGAUGUGAUGCCACGACCCCAGCAACCCCCCUCCUCCCAACACCACCGUCCCUAUCUUGGGCCUGGGGGAAGGAGAAAAUGAAGCGGGAUAUGGAAGAGCCUAGAGCUGUGCCUGGCACAGAGACAGGGUCCAUUAUCUGUGUGAGCCUCCAUGGGACUGGAACUCUCCAGACACCACUUCUGUGGCAGGAGACGCAGAAUGGCCGGCACGGGAUAACACAAUUCUAUACAAAUCAUUCUUCAGAAUGCUUGUUCUCAUCGUCAAACUAUGGUGGAAACCUUGCCAGGUCAUUAUCUAUGGAUCUGCUCUGGCAAGAAGUGAAGAGGAACUAAAAACUCUCUUGAUGAAAGUGAAAGUGGAGAGUGAAAAAGUUGGCUUAAAGCUCAACAUUCAGAAAACGAAGAUCAUGGCAUCUGGUCCCAUCACUUCAUGGGAAAUAGAUGGGGAAACAGUGUCAGACUUUAUUUUUGGGGGCUCCAAAAUCACUGCAGAUAGUGACUGCAGCCAUGAAAUUAAAAGACACUUACUCCUUGGAAGAAAAGUUAUGACCAACCUAGAUAGCAUAUUGAAAAGCAGACAUUACUUUGCCAACAAAGGUCCGUUUAGUCAAGGCUAUGGUUUUUCCAGUGGUCAUGUAUGGAUGUGAGAGUUGGACUGUGAAGAAGGCUGAGUGCCGAAGAAUUGAUGCUUUUGAACUGUGGUGUUGGAGAAGACUCUUGAGAGUCCCUUGGACUGCAAGGAGAUCCAACCAGUCUGUUCUGAAGCAGAUCAGCCCUGGGAUUUCUUUGGAAGGAAUGAUGCUGAAGCUGAAACUCCAAUCCUUUGGCCACCUCAUGCGAAGAGUUGACUCAUUGGAAAAGACUCUGAUGCUGGGAGGGGUUGGGGGCAGAAGGAGAAGGGGACGGUAGAGGAUGAAAUGGCUGGAUGGCAUCAACGACUCGAUGGACAUGAGUCUGAGUGAACUCCGGGAGUUGGUGAUGGACAGGGAGGCCUAGCAUGCUGCAAUUCAUGGGGUCUCAAAGAGUUGAACACGACUGAGCGACUGAACUGAACUGAACUGAAGAAUUCCAUUGUAAGGUGAACCAUAGUUUAUCAAUUAAUUUCCCUGCUGCUGGAUAUUGAAGUUAGUUUGCAGUGUUUUGCUGUUACAGUGAUACUGGCAAUAUCUUGUCCUUGGCACUUCUGUGGCCUGUUUGCUUCUCAAGUAGAUUCUAAGGAGAGGAACUUGAGGAAAUGGUAUCAGUUAUCUUUUGCUGCAAUAAUGCUGUGUAACAAAUGACAGUGAAAGUCGCGCAGUCAUGUCUGACUCUUUGUGACCCCACGGACUAUACAGUCCAUGGAAUUCUCCAGGCCAGAAUAUUGGAGUAGGCAGCUGUUCCCUUCUCCAGGGGAUCUUCCCAACCCAGGGAUUGAACCCAGGUCUCCUGCAUUGCAGGUGGAUUCUUUACCAGCUAAGCCACCAGGGAGUGUAACAAAUAGUCCUGGAUUUCAUGGCUUAGAACAACAACCAUUUAUUCUUUCUCACCAGUCAACAAGGUGGUUGGGCAGUUCUGCUGAUCUGAUUGUGGUUAUGCUUCCUUAUGUGUUUAAAGUUCACUAGCAAGUCAGCUGGGGAAGGCUGGUCUUAAAUGGCUUUAGCUGGGACAGCCCAUUUCUGCUCCGUAUGGCCGCUCUUCCUCAAUCAGAUUAGGCUGGGCUUGUUCUCCUGGUGGAGGUGGGGGUCUAAGAGGGUGAGGGGAAGUGUGCAGGGCCUCCGGAAGUCUGGGCUCAGAACUGGCCCACGGUCACUUUUACUCCAUUCUAUUGACCAAAACAGACCACAAGACCAUCUAGAUUCAAAGGCUGGGGAGUAGAGUCCACCUCUAGAAAGGAAGAAUGGCAAGUCACACUGAAAGAAUAUGGUGGGAGCACGUGGGGGGCAGAAUCGGGGCGCUUUCUGCAGUCAGUCUACCAGACUUUUUGAGUAGGCACCUGUUCCGUUCAACUGGAUGCUGCCAAACGGUCCCCCAAGUGGCUGGUCCCAUGGUCUGCAUCCUACGGGCAGAAGGAUUGUUUUCCACACCCUCCGCCGCACAGAGUCUGAGCGCUUGGGCUGGAUCUGUCAUUCUCCACACAGUGUAAGCUUUUACAAAGACGAUGGAGCAAUGAAAUGCAUCCUCUUAGAGUACCAAUUUUACUCAUCUUUUUGAGGGUCAAAAACCCAUUUUUUAAAAAAUCAAACACAGAUAUAACUCAUCAAAAUGCAAAAUUUGCAUGAAGUCUUAAGGAAAAAAAGGUAAAAUUUCAAAGACAUAUCUUGCUAUCAAAGCCAGUUACUUUAGAUUUUACACCAUACUCUCAGAAUUUCUGCACUGGUUCACUUGUGGCUCAACUAAUACUGAGAGCUCACCUCCUAUGCACCAGGCAUGGUUUUGGUGCCAGGGACGCAAGGGGUGACCUGAGAGUCAAGGUCCCUUCCCUCUUGGAGCUGAAUAUUUAUGGAGCGAAAAGAGACAAAAACAUUAACAUUGUAAUUUCAAAAAAUGAUAGAAGCCGUGAAUAAAAUAAAACAGGGUAAUAUGGUAGACA
rnacentral:lncRNA from 1 species